CGCCCGCCCCUUGCGGGUGGGAGGAAAGUCCGGGCAGCUCGAGCCGCCAUGCUUCCUAACGGGAAGAGGUCGCGAGGGUAACCGAGUGGUUAUAGAUAGCGCCACAGAAAAAAUACCGCCUUUGCGGUUUAAACCAAAAAGGUAAGGGUGAAAACGCGGGGUAAGAGCCCACGACGCGUCCUGGUGACAGGCGUGAUGGCAAGCCUCAUGGGCUGAAAGACCAUGUAAACCGGCAGUUUAAGGGCUGGCUCGCCCGAGUAGAGUUGCCGGAGGGUAGGUUGAUAGAGGCCGUCGGCGACGGCGGCACUAGAUUGAUGAUAGAACACGACAGAACCCGGCUUACAGGCGCGCUGU
rnacentral:RNase_P_RNA from 1 species